CUACGGGGUGCACCAGUGAGGAAUAUUGCACAAUGGGGGGAACCCUGAUGCAGCAACGCCGCGUGGAGGAUGACGCAUUUCGGUGUGUAAACUCCUUUUAUAUGUCAAGAAAAUGACGGUAGCAUAUGAAUAAGCACCGGCUAACUCCGUGCCAGCAGCCGCGGUAAUACGGAGGGUGCAAGCGUUACUCGGAAUCACUGGGCGUAAAGGACGCGUAGGCGGGUUGGAAAGUCAGGUGUGAAAUCCUACAGCUUAACUGUAGAACUGCACUUGAAACUUCUAAUCUAGAGUAUGGGAGGGGAGGGGGAAUUAGGGGAGUAGGGGUAAAAUCCGGAGAAAUCACUAGGAAUACCUAAGGCGAAGGCGAUCUCCUGGAACAUUACUGACGCUAAGGCGUGAAAGCGUGGGGAGCAAUCAGGAUUAGAUACCCUCGUAGUC
rnacentral:rRNA from 1 species